CAAUUAGAGAAUUCAGUCAUUUGGGGCAUUUCAAGAUCCUGUCAUUUUCAACUGUCCACAAAUGGCUGCUGUUGUACAUUUUAUUUUCUUUGGGAAUCAAGCUGUGGAAGACACAGGUCACAACCAACAUUUCUUAGAACAUCUUCCAUUUAUUAAGCUGUGUGGCAGCUGCACUUCCCCCUCUUGAGAACUGGUGUGGCAGUUGCACGUCCCCCUCUGAGAAAUGGAGCCUACAAUGGGGCAGUUAAUGGCUCUUUUGUGGGACCCGGAGUCAAUUGACAGGGUCACUAGCAGAAGAGGGGCCCAGAGAUGCUGAGAAGCUUCUGGAAUGCCCACAACCAGAUCUGACCAGACUAUAAAACGGGGUUCCCACCAAAGAUUCCCUUUUUGUGGUCUUCUCAGAACAGUGGGUCUGCUGAGGUGGAGCCCUCCCCUUAGACUGGAACACUGUCUAAGGAAACUUCCUGGGAUUGGGAGCACCUCAUCUCCUCAUUUGGCAGCCGUCAUUCUGUCACCAGCAUAUGAGGAAGAAGAGGCUAUUGAUUUGAAUAAUGACAAGACGCGGUCAGAAACAAAAAAGUCAGGAGAAAAGUGGAGACAGUGUUCAGAGUGAAAAUAUAGAAGAGGCUGCUGAAAUGCUGAAAGAAGUUGGACAAAGAACAUAAAGCUGAAUGGAUGAAGGUCAAUCAUAAGUCUAUUGAGGAAAAAGCAUACAUACUGGGAAGAGAUUAGGAAAGAUCGAAAAAACCUUCAAAUUAGGGCAGAUAAAGCAAAGGUAAUUUGAAAGAGAAUAAAGUUAUAGAUGAUGAAAAAAAUAGAAAGAGAAAAUAUGACAGCAGAAUUGGUAAUAAAUAAGGACAGGAUUUAAUAAAAGACUUGUGGAAAUCUAAAGAAAGACAGAGACAUUAAAAAGGAAUCUAGAAAUUAGUCUAAAACUAGAAGGUAUUGGAAAAAGAAGGUUAUUUGAAUGUAAGGUCAGGUGGAACACCAGGAGAGAGAAAAAGGACUUGAGUGGCAAGAGGACUGAGAAAACGGGAAUGCUUUCGGAGACAGACAUUGGAUUAGGAAUGAUGUGUCUGUUACAGGAAACUACUACAGGAUGGGCAGAGGACUGAAAUUAAAAAAAUGUGAGAAACAGAAAUAAAAACUGAUCAUAUGAUGAUAACAAAUUUGGAAGCUGCAAUUGAGAAGAUACUGAAGCUCCUCCCACAAACACUGGAAGGAAAAGAAAGACUCAUCUAUGGGUCAAAAAAGCAUAUGAAAAUUUCUAACAAUUAUAUCACACGGUGACACGUCAUGUCUACAUAAGUCCAACAAUGAAUUUAAUUCAUUGAUAGAUUUUCUCUAGUGUAUUUUAAAGGCUUGGUGAAAAAAAAAAAAAAAAAAAAAAAACAACAAAGAACUUAUUUCGGGAAGAAAAUUAUCUGUACUAGUGUCAACAUCGGGAUACACGGAGUAGUUUUAAGACUGCAGUGAAUAUACUGACUAUGUGAUUG